GUUGACGUCAUUCCGGCCAGAGGGCUCGAAAGCAGGAGCACAUGAACGCGCGUGAGUUGAGAGGGGUAUAUCCUUGGAGACACAAGCUCAUUCAGACUAACUAAUGAUCGCCAAAGGACAUGUGCCUGACACUCCCUUCAGGACCGACAACAGGGUGAUUUUAUGGACUAAAAAAUGAGCGUCACCGAAAUGCAGUGUCUAUAAGAGUUGCUGGAAGGACACCCAUUCUGUUGGAUCUUCGAGGAGGAGCCAGCGACUGGCCGUUCAUCAGUUAUAUUUCCUGUUUCUGGCUGGAUUCUCCAAAGACUUGGUUCAAGACAGCCGAAUGGCUGAAGUGUGUGAGUGACAGUCCGGAAACAACUACCAGAUCUGACCUGCUACAUAUCAGGGAUGCACUUGGGGACAGAGUUUUAUAAAUCAAUAAAAGAUUGUAAAAUCAAUUACAAAAGUAACAGACAACAGGGUUAAUAUGAGGAAGGCAUUACAAGAGAGCAGACAGAUUGUCACAUUCAGUAGAGAACCAAGUCGAAGAUAAAACCCAGAUUUUCUAUGGAUAAAAAAAAUAAAUAAAUAACUGAUGGUCAAAUGUUCUUUGAUACAUAUAAUUACAUAAAUCAAGCCCAUUUAAAAAUUGCUUCAAAUGCUUCUGUGGGAUUGAAUUGCGUUAUUGUGAAGAGAGUACCAGCCCAUAGCUGCUGCAGAGACUGUGGAAACUGGAAUGGACUCUGCAGGAAAUUUGCCAUGAAAGGAGGCAAAUUAGUUUAGUCUGAGAGCAAAGAUGAAGGACAUCUUAGCCAUUGUUAAUACAAAUAGUAAAAGCUGAAAGCUGUUUGACGUUUUGUGUGGUGAACAGCAUGCACUUAAAGUCUCCACUGCCAGCCAAUGCAUCUGCUCAGUUUAUUCAGCUGGUUUUUUGUUUUUGUUUUUUCUUCGUGUAGCCUAAUUUUCAAUUCCGUUUGUUAUUCGACUUUCACUUAAACUGUUCUGUGGACGUUGUCUUCCCUUGUUGAUACAAUUACUGUCAUCCUUGGCUAAUAGAGUAUGAAGCUGAAGAACUUUAUUUAUUGUGUACGUCUGUCUGGCUCAGGUCAUAUCAACCACAGGAGAAGAUUAUUGGUUUGAAACGAUAUCAAUCUUUUAAUGCUAAAAACCUCUCAAAUCUGACUUUCGUGGUUAAAUCUGAUAGAGUUAGUUGAUGAGUUUAAUGUGUAAUUUCAUAUCACAUCACAACACACAAACACAGAAGAAGUGUAAUCUGUGUCAUCUUGAGUUUGAUGUUUAAACCUAAUUGCCUUGCUUGGUAAAUUAGGCAUUGUGAACAUGACUAAAUGCAUUUGUGGAAAAUACUGUGGAAAAAUAUGAAAAA